rnacentral:ribozyme from 13 species
UUUUUGUUUUUGUCCUCUUUUUUUUUUUUUUGUGGUUUUUCUUUUUUUUUUUUUUUAUCGCAAAAAUGUGCUUUCCUAAUUUCUAUUAAGCCUAAAACUGAAAACUGGGAUUUCUCAUGAAUAAAAGAGCAAAGCAUAUCAUUCUCAUAAUAUGCUAACUCUGAGGAAGUAGAAGUA